rnacentral:misc_RNA from 1 species
GAUGAAGAACGUAGCGAAAUGCGAUAAGUAGUGUGAAUUGCAGAAUUCAGUGAAUCAUCGAAUCUUUGAACGCACAUUGCGCCCUUUGGUAUUCCAAAGGGCAUGCCUGUUCGAGCGUCAUUUGUACCCCCAAGCUUUGCUUGGUGUUGGGCGUCUUGUCUCUAGCUUUGCUGGAGACUCGCCUUAAAGUAAUUGGCAGCCGACCUACUGGUUUCGGAGCGCAGCACAAGUCGCACUCUCUAUCAGCAAAGGUCUAGCAUCCAUUAAGCCUUUUUUUCAACUUUUGACCUCGGAUCAGGUAGGGAUACCCGCUGAACUUAAGCAUAUCAAUAAGCGGAGGA